UUGUGAAGAGGGAGCGUCUCAGCCCGGAGCCAUCAGUGCAGUGAGGACAUGAGCUCAGGCAAAGGUCCCUGGGCCACCGCGGGCUCACAGGCCGAACCUUCACACUUCAAGCUCACGCACAGGGAGCAGACAAUUCAGUGGGACAUAUCAGGCACUUCCAAAUCUGCGACAGCCAAGGGUUUGAGAAGCAGAAAACAUCGCCUUCCGCAGCUCCCUUCCCAAGGCCACGGACGGACAGAUGGCAGCAGUUUCCUGCUGAGCGACCACUCCCGAGGAAUUCACUCCAAAUGCUGUGAACACUCAGCUAGACUCCCUCGGAAACCUCACCCACCCUUCUUCCCUCUUAGCCGUCAAGAACACAUUUUAGCCCCAAAUAUCCUUUCAGUUCCUCCAUAAAAGUGAUGAGGACUACUGCAGGUUUCUGUGCCUAGGCAGCAUUGUGGAAAUUGUUCUUUUUUUUUUUUUUAAAUUUAUCUAUUUAUUUGAAAGUCAGAGUUAGGGAGAGAUCUUCCAUCCUCUGGUUCACUCCCAAGUAGCCACAAUGGCCAGGGAUGAGCCAGGCCAAAGCCAGGAGCCAAGAGCCUCAUCUGGGUCUCCCAUGUGGGUGGCCAGGAUCCAAUCACUUGGGCCAUCAUCCUCUGCUUUUUCCCAGGCCAUUAGCAGAGAGCUGCAUCGGAAGUGCAGCAGCCGGGACACAAACCUGUGCCCGUAUGGGAUGCCAGCACUGAAGGUGGUGGCUUUACCCACUAUGCCACAGCACCGGCCCUGGGAAGUUUUCUUGUUUGCAUGGACUGGCCACAGGCAGGCAGGGGGACAGCCAUGGAUUGCAGCCAGCAGCCCCCAAGGGGACCCCUGGUCCCCACCCCCUGGAUGUUCCCUCCAGCAUCCUCCACUUUUUCAGGGGUGGGCCCCUGGUUCUAACACACAGCGCAGCACACGCUCAGUGGCAGGUGCAGGCCCCUGGUUCUAACACACAGCGCAGCACACGCUCAGUGGCAGGUGCAGGAGGUGCUGUAGGGUGAGGUGACAAGGAGAUGAAGCUCCCUCUGCCUACCGGGUCUCUCCCUCUUCCUCCCUGUCUCUCCCUCUGCCUCCCUGUCUCUCCCUCUGCCCCCUGUCUCUCCCUCUGCCUCCCUGUCUCUCCCUCUUCCUCCCUGUCUCUCCCUCUGCCUCCCUGCCUCUCCCUCUUCCUCCCUUAAACUCCCUCUUCCUCCCUGUCUCUCCCUCUUCCCUCUCACUCCCCUAGGCUCAUUCUGAGGGAUGCCAGCUCCCAGGUUGUCACUGCCCACGGGGAGGCCCCGCCCUGCCAGAGGCCAUGUGAGUGACUUGCAGGUGCUUGUCCCCAGCCAGAGCCAGGAGCCACCGAGCUGCCCUAGACCCCAGCCCACAGAGAUCCUGAGCUUCAGAAAGUCUACCAUACAAGAACAGACAAGCAAGGCACUACCCACCCGCCAUUUUCUUUCAACUGCAUUUCCAAAUGUUCGCUGAGUUGGGAGAGAAUUGCCUUUUAUUUAUUCAUUUUGUUUUACUCAGUAGGGAAUUUUAUGAGUGGGUCAUUUUUUAAAAAGCUGCAUUUAGCCUCCACCAUGGAAAUCACCUUCCCGUUCCCUGCCCUGCAUUUUCCUUGCCUUGUAAGCUUUUACAUUUUUAAUUCUGAAAAUAAAAGAAAAAGAAGAGGAGCUGGAGAUAUUUUC
rnacentral:lncRNA from 1 species